AUCCAGCUGACGAGUCACAGGUAGGACGAAACACGUGUCCUGGAU
rfam:Schistosoma curassoni strain Dakar, Senegal genome assembly, scaffold: SCTD_contig0009842